rnacentral:rRNA from 1 species
UACGUAGGGGGCAAGCGUUGUCCUGAAUCAUUGGGCGUAAAGAGCGUGUAGGCGGCCUGAUAAGUCGGCUGUGAAAGUCAAGGGCUCAACCCUUGAAUGCCGGCCGAUACUGUCAGGCUAGAGUCCGGAAGAGGCGAGUGGAAUUCCUGGUGUAGCGGUGGAAUGCGCAGAUAUCAGGAGGAACACCAAUGGCGAAGGCAGAUCUCUGGGCCGUAACUGACGCUGAGGAGCGAAAGCAUGGGGAGCGAACAGG